UUCAUAUGAGUGGGAACAGGUUCCUUGGCGAUGAAAAUCGGCGCAAGGAUGAAAAGGGAAGUCGGUGAGAAUCCGACACGGUCCCGCCACUGUAUGAGGGGAGUUUGCACAGCGAUAAGCCACUGGUCGAGACGGACUGGGAAGGCGUUGUGCAGAUCGUGAUCCUCAAGUCAGGAGACCUGCCUGUUUCGACAACACUGC
rnacentral:ncRNA from 1 species